rnacentral:pre_miRNA from 1 species
UUAACUUAAAUUUGAAUGCAGUUGGAACAGCGCCCUUAGCGGCAAACGUAGGCAAACGCUCCAACUCCAUACAAAUUUGAGUUA